GACGAACGCUGGCGGCGUGCUUAACACAUGCAAGUCGAACGGUAAGGCCCUUCGGGGUACACGAGUGGCGAACGGGUGAGUAACACGUGGGUGAUCUGCCCUGCACUUCGGGAUAAGCCUGGGAAACUGGGUCUAAUACCGGAUAGGACCACUGCCUGCAUGGGUGGGGGUGGAAAGCUGUUGCGGUGUGGGAUGGGCCCGCGGCCUAUCAGCUUGUUGGUGGGGUGAUGGCCUACCAAGGCGACGACGGGUAGCCGGCCUGAGAGGGUGACCGGCCACACUGGGACUGAGAUACGGCCCAGACUCCUACGGGAGGCAGCAGUGGGGAAUAUUGCACAAUGGGCGCAAGCCUGAUGCAGCGACGCCGCGUGAGGGAUGACGGCCUUCGGGUUGUAAACCUCUUUCAGCACCGACGAAGCGCAAGUGACGGUAGGUGCAGAAGAAGGACCGGCCAACUACGUGCCAGCAGCCGCGGUAA
rnacentral:rRNA from 1 species